rnacentral:rRNA from 1 species
AUGCACGCUGGCGGCGUGCCUAAUACCUGCCAGUCGAGCGAACAGACGAGGAGCUUGCUCCUCUGACGUUAGCGGCGGACGGGUGAGUAACACGUGGAUAACCUACCUAUAAGACUGGGAUAACUUCGGGAAACCGGAGCUAAUACCGGAUAAUAUAUUGAACCGCCUGGUUCAAUAGUGAAAGACGGUUUUGCUGUCACUUAUAGAUGGAUCCGCGCCGCAUUAGCUAGUUGGUAAGGUAACGGCUUACCAAGGCAACGAUGCGUAGCCGACCUGAGAGGGUGAUCGGCCACACUGGAACUGAGACACGGUCCAGACUCCUACGGGAGGCAGCAGUAGGGAAUCUUCCGCAAUGGGCGAAAGCCUGACGGAGCAACGCCGCGUGAGUGAUGAAGGUCUUCGGAUCGUAAAACUCUGUUAUUAGGGAAGAACAAAUGUGUAAGUAACUAUGCACGUCUUGACGGUACCUAAUCAGAAAGCCACGGCUAACUACGUG